rnacentral:tRNA from 1 species
GUCCAGAGAUGGGAAUCGAACCCACAGUGUUCCGCUUACGAGGCAGAUGCCAUGUCCACUAGGCUACCCUGGA